rnacentral:rRNA from 1 species
GAUGAACGCUGGCGGCGUGCCUAAUACAUGCAAGUCGAGCGAACGGACGAGAAGCUUGCUUCUCUGAUGUUAGCGGCGGACGGGUGAGUAACACGUGGAUAACCUACCUAUAAGACUGGGAUAACUUCGGGAAACCGGAGCUAAUACCGGAUAAUAUUUUGAACCGCAUGGUUCAAAAGUGAAAGACGGUCUUGCUGUCACUUCUAGAUGGAUCCGCGCUGCAUUAGCUAGUUGGUAAGGUAACGGCUUACCAAGGCAACGAUGCAUAGCCGGCCUGAGAGGCUGAUCGGCCGCACGGGAGCUGAGACACGGUCCAGACUCCUACGGGAGGCAGCAGUAGGGAAUCUUCCGCAAUGGGCGAGAGCCUGACGGAGCAACGCCGCGUGAGUGAUGAAGGUCUUCGGAUCGUAAAACUCUGUUAUUAGGUAAGAACAUAUGUGUAAGUAACUGUGCACAUCGUGACGGUACCUAAUCAGAAAGCCACGGCUAACUACGUG